rnacentral:rRNA from 1 species
GACGAACGCUGGCGGCGUGCUUAACACAUGCAAGUCGAACGGAAAGGCCCUGCUUUUGUGGGGUGCUCGAGUGGCGAACGGGUGAGUAACACGUGAGUCACCUGCCCUUGACUUUGGGAUAACUUCAGUAAACUGGGGCUAAUACCGGAUAGGAGCUCCUGCUGCAUGGUGGGGGUUGGAUAGUUUCGGCGGUUGGGGAUGGACUCGCGGCUUAUCAGCGUGUUGGUGGGGUAGUGGCUUACCAAGGCUCUGACGGGUAGCCGGCCUGAGAGGGUGACCGGCCACAUUGGGACUGAGAUACGGCCCAGACUCCUACGGGAGGCAGCAGUGGGGAAUAUUGCACAAUGGGCGGAAGCCUGAUGCAGCAACGCCGCGUGCGGGAUGACGGCCUUCGGGUUGUAAACCGCUUUCGCCUGUGACGAAGCGUGAGUGACGGUAAUGGGUAAAGAAGCACCGGCUAACUACGUG